GUAAAGUAAUUGGUCUAUAGUUGUCUAAAAGAAGUGGGUUUCCCUUUUUAUAUAAUAAAGAGACUACUCCUAUUUUUUGUAGUGUGCUCAUUUCUUCCUUUUGAUAGCAUGUGUUAAAAACUUUAACAACAAUUUCUUUUAAAUUUGUCCAGAAGGUUCGAUAAAAUUCUACACUGAUCCCGUCGAUGCCCGGUGAUUUAUUUAAUUUCAUAGAUUUAAUAGCUUCUGUACAUUCUUUUAUGGUAAGCUCCCCUUCUAGAUUUUGAGUUUCCUCAUGAGAAAGAGUUUUAUCUACUUUUGUUUCUGUUAUAUAUUUUUUUAUUUCAUUUUCAUUAGGAUUUGUACUUUUAUAUAAAUUUUCAUAGAAGUUUUUUUCUAACUUUAAAAUUUCAGAUGAAUCUGUUAUAAUUUCUCCUUUUUCAUUCGUAAGUGCAGAAAUAUUUUUAUGAGUUUGUCUGGAUUUUUCAAGGCCUAUAAAAAAUUUUGUGUUUUUUUCUCCUUCUUCUGUCCAUUUUACACGUGAUCUAACCUGAGCUCCCUUUGCUUCAUUUAUGUAAAGGUUCUCUAGUUUUUUCUCAGCAUUGUUUAUUCUAUUUUGAACAUUAUUAUCCUGUAAGUUUUCUGCAUUUUCGUUCAAUUUUUUUAAUGACAGUUCUAAUUUAAUUAUUUCAUUUUUAUUUUCAGCUUGUUUUUGCCUACAGUAUUUAAUGGUUAUGUCUCUUACUUCAGCUUUAAAAACGUCCCACUUAACUCGAGGAUCUACAGCCGUAGUAAGUAUUUUUUGUUUAUAAGUUUGAAUUAAGUUAUUAAUGAGAUUUUGAUAUUUUGUGUCAUUCAAUAUACUGUUAUUAAUUUUAAAGAAACCUCGGCCUCUACUGUGUGCUUUGUGUCUUAGCUUUAAUGAAAUUGCCUGAUGAUCAGUGUAAGAAAUAGCAGCGGGUCUAAUAUCUGCUGCUGUAAUAUGUGGUCUUAUAUCAGAGCUAAUAAGAAAAUAAUCUAUUCUGCUUGCUAUGUUAAAGUUAUUUUUCCUUCUCCAGGUGAACUGUCUUUUGUUUGGGUUAAUUUCUCUCCAUAUAUCAACUAACUUAUGUUUUUUUAUUAAUUGUUUCAAACUAUUUACAGGUUUAUUAAAUUUUUGUGUACUUGUACUUUUUCUGUCGUUUUCAGUCAGACUUUCAUUUAUAUCCCCUCCAAGUAUUAAAAUGCCUAAUCUAUUAUUUUCAAUUAAGUUGUUUAUUUUUUUGAAGAAAGAAUUUCUAUUUCUUUGUAUAUUUGGUGCAUAAACAUUAACUAAAGUGAAGAUGUUAUUAUCAAGUUCUACAUUAAUUAGAAUAAACCUGCCCUCCUCAUCUUUAAUUUCAUUUAUUAUUUUGUGAUUUAUGUUUUCUUUAAUUAAAAUUGAAACACCUCUGGAUAGGGAAUUGCCAAAGCUAUGGUAUAUCUUACAUUUAGUUUCACUAUUUAUUACAUUUAUGUUUUUAUCGGUGAAAUGGGACUCUUGAAUAAACAAGAUGUCACAUUUUUGAUUUUCACACCAAAUAUAUAGUCUGUCUCGCUUUUCUUUUUUUCCUAGCCCUUGGCAGUUCAAGGAGCAAAUAUUUAAAUUAUUACUCAUCUAAAUAAUGAACUAUACAUGUAUUAGCAAAGAUUACUACAGAGAUAUACAUCAUAACAAACUGUUUUAAGUUGUUGUAUACAAUACAACUAUGACUAAACGUAUAAUAGUAGUAAUGCAUGAGUAUAUAUAAUAUAUAUGUAUCAUUAUAAUAUGUGUUUUUUACAAUAAUACAGUUUUGUACUUGUGCCUGUAUGUAUAUAGGAGCUUGAUUUUCAGAAAUUACUUUUUCUAUUUUCAGAUAUUUGAAUUGUUCAAUAAGGAGUGUUCGAGUGCUCAACAACAUUAUAACUGUGAUCAAAUGAAAUAUAUUCUCAACAGUUUUUGAUGACGUCUUAAAUUUUCCAUACAUUUGAACCUGGAAAUGAUAUCUUUUUGUGUAGAAUUCUUUGGAGAUUUUUAAAUGUUCACUUAACGCUGCUGUACAUGUGUGUAUCAUGUGUUUUAAUAAGAUAUGGAUCUGUACUUCAAGUGAAUAUACUGCGUCAAAAUGAUUAGCAUAGCUGGUUGUGGAAUAUGUGUGUCUUGAUAGUAUGGUGCAAAAAUAUAUGAGUGCAAUUCGUUUCGUACUUCCUGUGUGUGAUGCGGUAUAUGGUGAUAUACUACAUGUAGUUGCGUACCAUAUUUGCAAUUUCGUAGGAAUAUGAAGUGGUUGGUAUAUUUUCCGAUUAUCCUUGUUUGAAUUGCAGAAAAUAGAAGAUUUGUUUGUACAAUCAGUGCUUACGUGUAAUAAAAGCAUUUUGGUGAUGAACCGAAUUAAACAAAUGCAGCCUAAUGACGUGGAUAGUAGAACUAGUGAUCGUUUCAUUUUGUUAACUAGUGAAUAAAAGUUUUUUCUUUUUGUUGGUUUAAUGCUUGUUUUAAAAUUAUCUGUUUCUUUCAGACAUAUGUUUUUGUUGGUAUUUUGUGAAUAAACAUACAUAUAAGAUAAAUUACAUAUUACACUGUUUUCUAUUUCUACAUCAUCAUGAUCAUCAAUUGAGAACAUAUGAUCUAGUUUUGUGUCAUAUUUCUCUUUUUGAUUGGUUAAUAUACAUGUACUACUCUUAUC
rnacentral:lncRNA from 1 species